UGUUCUAUGGCUCAGUUGGUUAAAGCCCCUGGCUUUAACACACGGAGUCGUGGGUUCAAAUCCCACCAAAACAA
rnacentral:tRNA from 1 species